ACUGUGUCCAAGUCCCUUGGAACAGGGUAUCAAAGAGGGUGAUAAUCCCGUACUUGACACAAUGACCGGUGCUCUGUGAUACGUCUUCUACGAGUCGAGUUGUUUGGGAAUGCAGCUCAAAAUGGGUGGUGAGUUCCAUCUAAAGCUAAAUAUUGGCGAGAGACCGAUAGCGAACAAGUACCGUGAGGGAAAGAUGAAAAGCACUUUGGAAAGAGAGUUAAACAGUACGUGAAAUUGUUAAAAGGGAAACGAUUGAAGUCAGUCGUGACUGAGAGGCUCAGCCGGUUCUGCCGGUGUAUUCCCCUCAGUCGGGUCAACAUCAGUUUUGUUCGGUGGAUAAGGGCAGUUGGAAGGUGGCACCCUCGGGUGUGUUAUAGCCAGCUGUCGCAUACAUCGGAUGAGACUGAGGAAUGCAGCUCGCCUUUAUGGCCGGGGUUCGCCCACGUUCGAGCUUAGGAUGUUGACAUAAUGGCUUUAAACGACCCGUCUUGAAACACGG
rnacentral:rRNA from 1 species